rnacentral:rRNA from 1 species
CCUACGGGAGGCAGCAGUAGGGAAUUUUCGUCAAUGGGCGCAAGCCUGAACGAGCGAUGCCGCGUGAGUGAAGAAGGCCUUCGGGUCGUAAAGCUCUGUUGCGGGGGAAAAAAGGCAGCAUCAGGAAAUGGGUGCUGACUGAUGGUGCCCCGCCAGAAAGUCACGGCUAACUACGUGCCAGCAGCCGCGGUAAUACGUAGGUGGCGAGCGUUAUCCGGAAUGGUUGGGCGUAAAGGGUGCGCAGGCGGUCCUGCAAGUCUGGAGUGAAACGCAUGAGCUCAACUCAUGCAUGGCUUUGGAAACUGGAGGACUGGAGAGCAGGAGAGGGCGGUGGAACGCCAUGUGUAGCGGUAAAAUGCGUAGAUAUAUGGAAGAACACCAGUGGCGAAGGCGGCCGCCUGGCCUGUUGCUGACGCUGAGGCACGAAAGCGUGGGGAGCAAAUAGGAUUAGAUACCCCAGUAGUC